GGUUAAGUGACUAAGCGUACACGGUGGAUGCCCUGGCAGUCAGAGGCGAUGAAGGACGUGCUAAUCUGCGAAAAGCGUCGGUAAGGUGAUAUGAACCGUUAUAACCGGCGAUGUCCGAAUGGGGAAACCCAGUGUGAUUCGUCACACUAUCGUUAACUGAAUACAUAGGUUAACGAGGCGAACCGGGGGAACUGAAACAUCUAAGUACCCCGAGGAAAAGAAAUCAACCGAGAUUCCCCCAGUAGCGGCGAGCGAACGGGGAGCAGCCCAGAGUCUGAAUCAGCUUGUGUGUUAGUGGAACGGUCUGGAAAGUCCGACGGUACAGGGUGAUAGUCCCGUACACCAAAAUGCACAGGUUGUGAACUCGAAGAGUAGGGCGGGACACGUGGUAUCCUGUCUGAAUAUGGGGGGACCAUCCUCCAAGGCUAAAUACU
rnacentral:rRNA from 1 species